GUCAUACCCAGAGUAUAGCUGUAACUCUAGCACACACACACACACACACACACACACACACACACACACACACACACACACACACACACACACACACACACACACACACACACACACACAAGCAUCAUCGCUCAAAAAUAACCAUUCCUUACUACCACCAGGUUAAUGAAGUGAACAUACACCUUCAUAAUGGAACUUCAUACUUAUAUUGAUUUUUGUCUCUUUCUCUCUCUCUCUCUCUCUCUCUCUCUCUCUCUCUCUCUCUCUCUCUCUCUCUCCCAAAUUCAAAUUAUCUCUCUCUCUCUCUCUCUUUUCUCGCUCUCACUCACUCUCUCUUCCCCAUUCUCUCCUCUAACUCCUGCUGUGUCCCCUUCACACUUUCCCUUUCUUCCUCUCUCUCUUUCUCUCUCUCACCCCAUGGCCUCUGAGACACGAGGAGCAGACUGCAGGAGGGAGGGGCUGAGCUGGUGUGGGGCUGGUAGGAGGUCUAGUCGGUUAACACAGGACUGAAAGGGGCAAUCAGGUUCAGGCCUGAUUAACCUGUGAAUAAGUGCAUGUGUGUGUAUCAGAGAGAGAGAGAGAGAAAGUGGAAGAGUGUGUGUGUGUGCCAACGCAUUGGCGUUUCUGCAGAGUGAGUGUGUCUGUACGUGAGUGUGUGUCUGUGUGUGUUUGCAUGCGUGUGCUUGUUUGUGUGUGUGUGUGUGUGUGUGUGUGUGUGUGUGUGUGUGUGUGUGUGUGUGUGUGUGUGUGUGUGUGUGUGUGUGUGUGUGUGUGUGCGUGUGUGUGCGAGACUGAAGGUGUGUGUGUGUGUGUGUGUGUGUGUGUGUGUGUGUGUGUGUGUGUGUGUGUGUGUGUGUGUGUGUGUGUGUGUGUGUGUGUGUGUGUGUGUGUGUGUGAUGUAACUGCACCUGACAUGUAGCCAGAGGUGUGUUAGGGAGCAGAUGGUAACAUGCAGACAACAAUAGGAAGGCCAAAGGGGAGCGUAACCAUGGUGACAGCCUAAAGAGCGGCAACAUACUGACUCAGAGACUUAAUUGUCAGACGCCAUGAAAUUAAAAUUGACUUUUCACCCUGUUUCCUUAUUAUUAACCAGCCCUUGGCAUAUUAUUCACCCAUUAAACAAAGUGUGCCCCAAAAAAAGGUUGAUUAGCUAUUUUACAACCAAAUCUAAUCACCAUACCUUUAACAUCGGAACUAGUUGUGAUGAUGUUUUAUUAUACUUGCUAGCAGCAGGCUUAACAUUUAGACCAAUAGUUCCAUGGAGUGUGAUUUUGCUCGGGUCAGUCACAUCAAAGAAAUAUCAAUAUUUUCACCAAUAUUGAAGGCCAGGCAUUUAACGUAAAAUGUUGGGUAUAAAUUGCACAAGUACAGUUUUUUAAAGUGUCCUAAUUAUUCCGGAGUGAUAGGUAGGAACACAUUGUUUUGAAAGUAACAAUGUGUUCCUACCGCCAGUUACAUCACAACAAUCUCAUCUUUUUGCGCUAUUUUGGGCACUUUGAUUAAAAGGCUAGCUGUAAUGUGCAGCCUGCACAGUUUUCAGCAGCGCAGCCCCGGUAGUCUAGUAAUCACAGCGCCAUACAUAAUGCUGAAUUAUCUGUAAUUAGGAGUGUAUUCCCCGCACAUCAACAGGUGCAAGGCUAUUUCAGCUCUGCUAGCCAAUGGAAGGCAAGGCAAGCAGCUGUUUACAGAUACCCACGGCGUAUCCCUUUGAUAUACAAUGUAUGUUCUUCGUCAAACUCAAACGUCUGGUUCAUGUCUCAUAGACGUACCUUGCUCAACAGUCAGUAACAGGAGCAUCCCUGCAAAGGGUCCUCCCGACAGGAUCUUUGUAAAGUACUGUGAGGAUGUCAGGUAAUAAGCUUUUCACAGUUUACAAACAAAUUGUUUGUCGUAAACGCAGGUGGCAAAAACAAAGCGGUUCAUUUAAAAAAACGACAUAAAUGGCACAUGGCCUUAAGGAAAAGCUUUUAAAAAAUGUGCUGCUGCUAAUUUAUGCACAGAUCUGAACUAAUUCUUUGGCAACUGUGAAGAAGGAGGAUAUUAAGGCAACGUAUUUCCUUGUUGAAGAUAAUGCUGCGCUCUUAAUUUGAAAUGUGCGGUGUACUCAAACAUGAAAUGGAAAUUUGCCCCAAACUAUGUAUUUGUCACUUGGUGUGUGAUGUGGAAUGAGGUUACAUGCAUCCUGUCCUACCCUCACUGUUGAGAUACAAGAGGUGCCUCUCUCUCUCUCUCUCUCUCUCUCUCUCUCUCUCUCUCUCUCUCUCUCUCUCUCUCUCUCUCUCUCUCUAUCUAUGUUCUAUCUCUCUCUCAGAAUUAUGUAUGAAGCCGUUCAUUUUAAGCCGUAACCCAGAAUACAUAAUCUACUGCAAUACAGGUUUGCCGUUGAUUAUAACAGGUUUAUUCUGCAUUGUGUCCUUAAAUCUUGUUACUCCAGGAAAAUAACAAGAGGCAUAGAAAAACGAUUUGAAUGAUGACAACUCAAUUUGCAUUUAACCUAUUUUAAGUGUAAUUUAUGGUAACCCUUACUUUUGAAGUCGCCUCAUAAGAUUAAUAUUAACCUGGUUAAUAAAUGGUAAAUUAAAAUAUAUUAUUGUCUAAUUACCGCUGGAUAAUAAAUAGAUACAGAGGAACUGCAGCUGAAACCUCCAAUGUUCGACCCAACUGACUACCAUGUAACCAACCAUUUUAGGUUAGUCAUAACUCAGAUAUAGCUGCGUACUACUUAUGAAAGUAAACAAUUCUUGAAACACCUCCUUUAUUACCUAUCAAAUCAAGAUGCAAUUGUAGUUAUCCAAGGCUUACGUUGGUAACAGCCAGAGUGCAAUUUGUAUCAUACAAAUAACCUAGGGAAAUUAAGAUAGCACCUCCUAAUAAAUUAGUUUUUCUUAAAUAGUUAUUAUUCAUGGCUGCACCCAAUUUUGAAGGGUUCAUUCCAUGUACCUUGAAAACGAUGGAAUCGGUUUUGUUUUAGUUUAAAAAUCACAUCUAUACCCACAAUAAUGUUGUGCAUAGAAAUGGAAAUAAGACACCCCCCUAUUCUUGUGCCAUUGUGGAGGUGGGGCGGCGUCUGGCCUGCAGGGGGAGUAUGGAGCACCGGGACUGCUGGGGUGAUGGGGUCUGAUUGCGGACAGGUGUCUGCAUCUGACCCAAUAAGGAAGUGUGUAUUUAUGUGCCUGCUUGUCUUUCAGUGAGGGGUUGAGAGAGAGAGAAGGAAAAAGUUCUCUGCGAGCCAGAGAGAGCGUCGCAUGACCAAGUGAAGGACGGAACGAACAUUCGACGUUGUCCUUUUUGUACUUGUGACGUUGUGUUUGUUUGUCCGAAGUGGAAAUAAACAGGAACUGUGUCCUGUGAACCCGUUACAGUGGAGCCCAACGUGGUAGGAGUCGAUUACGGAACAAUCGCCAUUGGCCAGCGUCCUCGGACACCUGGCAAAAACAGCGGAGCAUCAGACCCAGCUACAGCAGGCCCAGAACGAGGUCCUGGUGGAGCUUGGCCGCCGACCGGGAGGCCAUGCGGGGCUCCGGAGAACGUGGCGGGGAAACCCGACCGGGGCGACAAAUAUAUGUCCCCAAAAUGGGGGAGGCCGACGACCCAGAGGUCUUCCUGGAGACCUUCCGGGGGGUGGCCGAGGUCUCCAAGUGGCCGCCGCAGGAGUGGGCCCACCGUCUCCUGCCCCUGCUGACGGGAUGGGUCCCAGCUCGCGGCCCACAGCCUACCAGCAGCAGUCCAGAAGGACUUCGACACCAUCGCCAGGGCUAUCCGGGACCGGUUGGGCCUAAACCCGGAGGAACAUCGCCGCCGGUUCCGGGCCCUGGCCUUCACCGACGGCCGACGGCCCUUCACCUACACCCAGCAGCUGCGGGACCAGGCGAGGAGGUGGCUGGACCCGGAACGAAACACACAGGAGGGAGAUUCAGUAACUGGGGUUCCACCUGGGGCGGGGGAAGGUCCGGCCCCAGGUCGCCGCAGGUCGGUAAGAC
ensembl:lncRNA